UACGUAGGGUGCGAGCGUUAAUCGGAAUUACUGGGCGUAAAGCGAGCGCAGGCGGUUCUAAAAGCCAGAUGUGAAAUCCCCGAGCUCAACUUGGGAACUGCGUUUGGAACUCUAGGACUAGAGUGUGUCAGAGGGAGGUAGAAUUCCACGUGUAGCAGUGAAAUGCGUAGAGAUGUGGAGGAACACCGAUGGCGAAGGCAGCCUCCUGGGAUAACACUGACGCUCAUGCUCGAAAGCGUGGGGAGCAAACAGGAUUAGAUACCCUGGUAGUCCACGCCCUAAACGAUGUCUACUAGUUGUUGGAGGAGUGAAAUCCUUCAGUAACGCAGCUAACGCGUGAAGUAGACCGCCUGGGGAGUACGGUCGCAAGAUUAAA
rnacentral:rRNA from 1 species